AUUACUUUGGCAGAUAAGUGCAAUAAAUUUAGAAUUUAUUAAUGUAUAAUUAUACAGGUAAUA
rnacentral:tRNA from 1 species